rnacentral:rRNA from 1 species
CCUACGGGGGACAGCAGUGGGGAAUAUUGGGCAAUGGGCGCAAGCCUGACCCAGCAAUGCCGCGUGAAGGUAGAAGCCCCUUGGGUUGUAAACUUCUUUUAUCAGGGACGAAGGAUGUGAAGGUACCUGAUGACUAAGAUCCGGCUAACUACGUGCAGGCCGCCGCGGUAAUACGUAGGGAGCAAGCGUUAUCCGGAUUUACUGGUUGUAAGGGGCGUUUAGGUGGGAGGGCAAGUCAGCUGUGAAAUCAAGAGGCUCAACCCCUGAACUGCAUUUGAAACUGUCGUUCUUGAGUACUGGAGAGGUUGACGGAAUUCCUAGUGUAGCGGUGAAAUGCGUAGAUAUUAGGCGGAACACCAGUUGCGAAGGCGGUCAACGGGACAGCAACUGACGCUGAGGCGCGAAAGCGUGGGGAGCAAACAGGAUUAGAUACCCCUGUAGUC